rnacentral:rRNA from 1 species
AGAGUUUGAUCAUGGCUCAGGAUGAACGCUAGCUACAGGCUUAACACAUGCAAGUCGAGGGGAAACGACAUCGAAAGCUUGCUUUUGAUGGGCGUCGACCGGCGCACGGGUGAGUAACGCGUAUCCAACCUGCCCACCACUUGGGGGAUAACCUUGCGAAAGUAAGACUAAUACCCAAUGACGUCUCUAGAAGACAUCUGAAAGAGAUUAAAAGAUUUAUCGGUGAUGGAUGGGGGAUGCGUCUGAUUAGCUUGUUGGGCGGGGUAACGGCCACCAAGGCGACGAUCAGUAGGGGUCUGAGAGGAAGGUCCCCANAUUGGAACUGAGACACGGUCCAAACUCCUACGGGAGCA